rnacentral:rRNA from 1 species
AGCGAACGCUGGCGGCAGGCCUAACACAUGCAAGUCGAACGAACUCUUCGGAGUUAGUGGCGGACGGGUGAGUAACACGUGGGAACGUGCCUUUUGGUUCGGAAUAACUCAGGGAAACUUGUGCUAAUACCGAAUGUGCCCUUCGGGGGAAAGAUUUAUCGCCAUUAGAGCGGCCCGCGUCUGAUUAGCUAGUUGGUGAGGUAACGGCUCACCAAGGCGACGAUCAGUAGCUGGUCUGAGAGGAUGACCAGCCACACUGGGACUGAGACACGGCCCAGACUCCUACGGGAGGCAGCAGUGGGGAAUCUUGCGCAAUGGGCGAAAGCCUGACGCAGCCAUGCCGCGUGAAUGAUGAAGGUCUUAGGAUUGCAAAAUUCUUUCACCGGGGACGAUAAUGACGGUACCCGGAGAAGAAGCCCCGGCUAACUUCGUG